GUACACGCUGUGACUAGCAUAUCAAUAAGCGGAGGAAAAGAAACUAACAAGGAUUCCCCUAGUAACGGCGAGUGAAGCGGGAAGAGCUCAAAUUUGAAAUCUUAAAGGGUUUCCCUUUACGAAUUGUAGUUUAAAGAAGUGUUUUCUGUUGAGGUUUUGGUAAAAGUUCUUUGGAAUAGGACAUCAUAGAGGGUGAGAAUCCCGUAUUUGACCUUUACUUUCAACUUUGUGAUACACUUUCAAAGAGUCGGAUUGUUUGGGAAUGCAGUCCAAAAUGGGUGGUAAAUUUCAUCUAAAGCUAAAUAUUGGCGAGAGACCGAUAGCGAACAAGUACCGUGAGGGAAAGAUGAAAAGAACUUUGAAAAGAGAGUUAAACAGUAACGAUGAAAUUGUCAAAAGGGAAGCGUUUGACACCAGUGUUGUUUUUCUGAAAAUCAAUUAAAGAACUGUUUAUGCUAAGCUGUUUAGACUUUAUCAGCUAAUCUGUUUAGUUUUGAGCUUUUCUUUAAUGCACUUUUCAGUUAACAAGUCAACAUCAAUUUCUUUUGCUGUAAAAAAGCUUGAGGAAGGUGGCUUGAGAUUCGUCUUAAGUGUUUAUAGCCUCUUGCCUAUGCAGUCGGAGAGAUUGAGGUCUGCAGCGUAGAUCCUUCGGGGCUAAAUGCAUUUGUGCUAAGUUAUAACAUUUUAUAGACAACUUGUUGACUAUGAUUUGUCUUGUAGCUUACUCGCUUAUGUUAUUUUACCUACGCUUAGGAUGUUGACGCGCGUGUGUGCGUG
rnacentral:rRNA from 1 species